UUCGGGCCGACAUGCUGUCCUGCAGUCGAGCGGACAGAAGGGAGCUUGCUCCCGGAUGUUAGCGGCGGACGGGUGAGUAACACGUGGGUAACCUGCCUGUAAGACUGGGAUAACUCCGGGAAACCGGAGCUAAUACCGGAUAGUUCCUUGAACCCGCAUGGUUCAAGGAUGAAAGACGGUUUCGGGCUGUCACUUACAGAUGGACCCCGGCGGCGCAUUAGCUAGUUGGUGGGGUAAUGGGCCUCACCAAGGCGGACGAUGCGUAGCCGACCUGAAGAGGGUGAUCGGCCCACACUGGGACUGAGACACGGCCCCAGACUCCUACGGGAGGCAGCAGUAGGGAAUCUUCCGCAAUGGACGAAAGUCUGACGGAGCAACGCCGCGUGAGUGAUGAAGGUUUUCGGAUCGUAAAGCUCUGUUGUUAGGGAAGAACAAGUGCGAGAGUAACUGCUCGCACCUUGACGGUACCUAACCAGAAAGCCACGGCUAACUACGUGCCAGCAGCCGCGGUAAUACGUAGGUGGCAAGCGUUGUCCGGAAUUAUUGGGCGUAAAGGGCUCGCAGGCGGUUUCUUAAGUCUGAUGUGAAAGCCCCCGGCUCAACCGGGGAGGGUCAUUGGAAACUGGGAAACUUGAGUGCAGAAGAGGAGAGUGGAAUUCCACGUGUAGCGGUGAAAUGCGUAGAGAUGUGGAGGAACACCAGUGGCGAAGGCGACUCUCUGGUCUGUAACUGACGCUGAGGAGCGAAAGCGUGGGGAGCGAACAGGAUUAGAUACCCUGGUAGUCCACGCCGUAAACGAUGAGUGCUAAGUGUUAGGGGGUUUCCGCCCCUUAGUGCUGCAGCUAACGCAUUAAGCACUCCGCCUGGGGAGUACGGUCGCAAGACUGAAACUCAAAGGAAUUGACGGGGGCCCGCACAAGCGGUGGAGCAUGUGGUUUAAUUCGAAGCAACGCGAAGAACCUUACCAGGUCUUGACAUCCUCUGACAACCCUAGAGAUAGGGCUUUCCCUUCGGGGACAGAGUGACAGGUGGUGCAUGGUUGUCGUCAGCUCGUGUCGUGAGAUGUUGGGUUAAGUCCCGCAACGAGCGCAACCCUUGAUCUUAGUUGCCAGCAUUCAGUUGGGCACUCUAAGGUGACUGCCGGUGACAAACCGGAGGAAAGUGGGGGAUGACGUCAAAUCAUCAUGGCCCCUUAUGACCUGGGGUAACCACCUGGCUACAAUGGGACAGAAAAAAAGGGCUUGCAAAAACCGCAAGGGUUUAGCCAAUCCCCUUAAAUCUGUUUUCAAUUUCGGAAACCGAUUCUUGACUUCUUCUUCUGAAGCUGGAAUCGCUAGUAAUCGCGGAUCAGCAUGCCGCGGUGAAUACGUUCCCGGGCCUUGUACACACCGCCCGUCACACCACGAGAGUUUGCAACACCCGAAGUCGGUGAGGUAACCUUUAUGGAGCCAGUACGAGCAUGUCAGAAUGAACAGAAUCCUAACC
rnacentral:rRNA from 1 species